rnacentral:tRNA from 1 species
GCCCAGGUGGCGGAAUUGGUAGACGCGCAUGGUUCAGGUCCAUGUGCCAGCAA